GUAGGUGGCAAGCGUUGUCCGGGAAUUAUUGGGGCGUAAAGCGCGCGCAGGCGGUUCUUUAAGUCUGAUGUGAAAGCCCACGGGCUCAACCGUGGGAGGGUCAUUGGAAACUGGAGAACUUGAGUACAGAAGAGGAAAGCAGAAUUCCACGUGUAGCGGUGAAAUGCGUAGAGAUGUGGAGGAACACCAGUGGCGAAGGCGGCUUUCUGGUCUGUAACUGACGCUGAGGCGCGAAAGCGUGGGGAGCAAACAGGAUUAGAUACCCUGGUAGUCCACGCCGUAAACGAUGAGUGCUAAGUGUUAGGGGGUUUCCGCCCCUUAGUGCUGCAGCUAACGCAUUAAGCACUCCGCCUGGGGAGUACGGCCGCAAAGGCUGA
rnacentral:rRNA from 1 species